ACUGCAGUGGUCUGUGGGUUCUCCAUGUGCUUUGCUCUGUGCUGUGAAAUGUUAACAGGAAAGACAAGAGCUGGAUGCAGUGCUUACCCAUAACAUCCAAGGAGCUGCUGACAUUGGCAUCCCCAUGAGGAUGUUACUUGAUGUGAUAUCAGAAAAAACCAGUGACUUCUAUAAAGGAUUUAUCAAUUUCUGUGUGAACAACAAGCAAAUUACAGAAGAACUGAACUUUGUCCAGAAGUUGGAUGUUGUGUCUCUUAACUACAAACUUACUCAUAACAUAGACACAUUGAAGACUUUGCAAAUAAAAGACAGGAUUGAGUUGCAGGCUAUCUUGAACCUCAAAGUUACCAGGAGCUUUGGUUUGAAAGUUCUUUAUGGUGCUCACCUGACAGUUCUUGAAGGACAAAUUCAGGAGUUGGAAACAAGUACCAACAUAACAGGGAAUUUCCAUCACUCUUUGCCAUGGCUGCUACAAGCCAAAGUCCCAUCAUCUUUGCAGAUAGAUGUGGUUUUCCAAGGGAGAAACACAACUCAAGAGAGAUAUGUGCACAUUGCAGCUGGAGAAACAUCACUCACAUACAUAAUAAACUCCCGUUAUGUUGGCCACCAAGUGGAUCUGUUCUGCCAGAGUGUGCACAGCAGUGAGGUUCUCCAGGCUUCAGGCUACCCUAAGGCAAUCAACUUGAUUUUCAGUGCACAGAAAUCAGAAAACAAAGCCAAGACUGUCUGUGAAAUCCAGUAUGAUGGGAAAGAUAUAACUGUGACUGUGGACGUUGACACAGACUUUGAACUCUCUGGUAUAUUUGUGUUCAUGGCAGAGGUGAAGCAUUCGAUAUCACUUCUCCAUCACCUGGGACUUCCCUUCUUUUUUAAGAUGACAAUUCAAGAAGUCAUGACUGAAAAUGAAACUGAAGGUGCUCUGAGGCUGACCUAUGAACAAAACAAAAACUUCUCCUUUUCCAUCAGCAGAAAAAAAGACCAGCAAGGUGAAGAGUUGAAUAUAAAAGCACUCCAGACUCAUCCCUUCUUUCUACAGUACUUCCCCUGUGCAGCACAACUGUCUUCUAAGGUAAAUUAUGAUAUGAGUGAAGCAAAAGGCAAACUCUACCUCAGGAUGGAAAAACGGGAUUUCAACGUUUCAGCAAAGCUAACUUUGACUGGAAGCAGCUACAGCAAUGCCAUUGAGGUGGCACAGACCAUGGCCCAGUUAAAAAUUCUUCCAAGACAACUUAUGCUUAUGACAAUUUACCAAAAAGACAACAGAACUCAUCUGCUGAGGCACAUUGCCCUGUGGGAUGGCAAAGAGCUAAAGCUAACAGGCACUUACACUGGACUCUUCCCAAAGCUGCCUGGAGGCCAUGGCAUUCAGGUGGAACUCCUCCAUCCUCUCUCCAUCCCUUUUCCACGGCAUGCCUGGGCCAACUUAUAUGUGAAACAUUCAGCACGCAGUCACCAGGAUGUCCUUACUGUCAUUUGGAAUGAAAAGGACAAGGUACAGUGGCCCAGAGCAAAUAAAUGUCAGGAGGGUAUCAAGACUGUUUCUUGGUUUGUUUUUUUUUUGUUUGUUUGUGGUUUUUUGUUGUUUUUUUGUUUGUUUGUUUGUUUUUCUUUUUAAUUAAAAAAGGAACUAAGCAAGCCAGGGAAUUUGACUAUAAGGCAAACUGUCCCCCUUCCUGGAUGUAUAAAAAGUUCUGACUGUGAAAGUUGAGUAGCUGAUAUUCUUGUAGGAAGUAUUUUCAGGCCAUAGGAUUUUUUUGUUUGCAGUAACCCCACACCUUGCUGCUUAACCAAAGGUAAUGAAAUGCAUCAGCUUCAAAGCACUGGGUAAAGGCCUCUGAGGGUAAGUGGGAAGAAUAGCACAAAUGUCCUGCUUAAAGCAGCUUAUGGACAAAGAAAUAAAACCUAAGACGUGUGAGCA
rnacentral:lncRNA from 1 species